AGGAAACAGAGGCUACAAUUCAUACAGGCUCACCAAAAUUGGACAAAAGAAGAUUGGAAAAAUGUUGCCUGGUCGGUCCGUGUAUCUUUUGGUCAUUGGAUUUUCCUUUCAGAAACGGAUAUCAAAAAACAAAAAACAAGUGGUUAUUUGAUUUUUGUUUUAAAAUACAAAAUUUAAAAUUAAAAUACAAAGCGUUUCUCUUUUUCAGUGUCAAAAAGAGAUGAGCGAAAUUUUAAAAAUGAUUUGAAUUUCAAUUUCUAUUUCGGAUAUCAAAAAAUAAAGUUACUUUAGAACAGAAACGAAAAAAAGGCCCGUUUGUUCAUAUUCCGAGACCGGAUGUGGUUAGCACUCACGUGACAAGAGCGCCACAUUUGACAGAGUGACAGUCUGCUUAGCCCAGAAUAAAAUGUCUUUGGAAACUUACUCAGUUAUGAUUUUAGACAUGGCAAAACAAGGCCUGUCAUCCACAGAAAUCUCAGCGCAGAUAUCACAAGUAAAUGGGGGAGCAAGAGGAUGUUCCGCAAGAAACGUGAGGAGAUUUUGCAGUGAAAAUGGAUUAAGUUUGAUGGGACUCCCUGACGCACAUUUGGAGUUGGAGGUGGCAAAAGCUAUAACCGAGACUGGACCUACAUAUGGAAGAAAGAUGAUGAAGGUGUAUCUCGCCAUGAAAGGAGUGCAUGCUGCAGAAACACGAAUUGGAUCAGCGCUCAGAACUAUGCAUCAGCCAUACCAUGAAGCAAGACGUCAGGGUGCCCGCAAUCUCAACCCCAUACCAUAUCAAGCUGAUUACAUGGGUCAAAAGGUUCAUAUGGACCAAAACGAAAAACUGGCUAUGUUUGGGGUUACCCAUGUUUUAGCCAUUGAUGGCUUCAGCAAAAAGAUUGUUGCUCAUUCUACAAUGCCUAUAAAAAACAACCUUGCCAUCUAUGAAGAUGUUUUCAGGCCUGCAGUACUUGCCUAUGGUAUGUGGGACCAGGUACGAGUAGAUCAUGGCAAGGAGUUUUAUUUGACGCUUUUCAUGCAGGAGCUGCUGUCAUCUCACCGCCAUAAUCAGGAGCGAAGGCCAUAUUUACAGACUUCAUCCACAAAGAAUCAUAUAGUUGAACGAAUCUGGCCUGAAGUCAACAAUCAUGUCAACUAUCCACUGAAGACAGCACUUACGGGGUUGGUGGAUCAAGAGGAAAUAGACAUGAACGACUCCCUUGUGAGAUAUUGUGUGUCCAACCUUACUGGCCGCUUGUGUGAGAUUGGUCUUACAAGGCUGGUGGAGUCAUGGAAUGCUCAUAGAAUUCCAGGUAAAGGAACACCAAAUGACUUGGCUGGCCGUGGGUGUCCCAAAAAAAUCCAACAGGAGCUGUUGCCUCAUUCAGCUGAAGCAGCAGACCUUUACAGCCAACAGCUGGGAUCAUCACUGACCAGGCAUUCAACUUUUGGAGUUGAUCCAUUUUCAACUGAACAGGACAAGAUUACAGUUGAGAACCAGUUUGCCGAGCAUUAUUCAGACAUGUCAGAAUUGUACUCUAGAGCAGUGAACAAUGACUUUGCCCCAUACAAACAGGCAUUGCUCUGUCUUAUAACCACAACUCAGCGCAAUGUGUGAAAAGCCAUUAGCUCUAUUUAACUUGAAGACUGUUAACUUUAAAUUUGUGUAAAAAUUCAACGUUACUCCUCUUCAAAAAGGGAUCUCAGAACAGAAAAUGUCUCUGACAGACCAUUAAUUUCAAAUAUGGUGUUGUUUGCAGUGUUCCCUCUACAUUUUGCACAGUGCACAGAGGUCUCCUGCCACUGUACCACACAUGUUUUGCAGCCAAUAAUGCUCCGGCAACACUCUGUGAAGACUGGCUCCUCGAUGAAUUCUAAAAGACAAAAUGAGAAAAACUAGUCAUUCUGUGUGUGUGUGUGUGUGUGUGUGUCCAUAUGACCUUAACUCUUAACCAGCACCCGUAUUUUUUGAGAAUUUUCUGAAAAUGACAUGUAACCAACUACAAAUGUCUGUAGCUCUUAAACCCUAUAGUCCACAUUCAUAACUGGUCUUUUUUUUAAACUAGACAGUUUAAACCUUUUUACCAGAGAGUCAUUAUAAUUCAAAGCAGCAAAGAAAGAGUAAAACAAGGUAAACAUUUUACAUGAAAAGUUACUUACGAUUUCUUUGAAUGAACUUAACUUAUGGAAACAUUUAUCAGACUUUUAUGUUAAAGGCCUGAAAACAACAAAGAUCAAAUUUAAUGUCUGGACCAUGUUUUGAUUCAAAUUUGAGAAUAAAACUCCCAGUCCCAACAAUUUAGUUUCUGUUAGCUUUUAUUCAUGAAAAGUAAAGGCGUCAUUUCUAAAAGGCCAAAUGGAGAGCUUGCAAUCGAUUUUGGUUGGUUAUUACUCCCAUCAAUCAAAACUUUGCUGACUAGACAUUGGCUUGGUUUUCAAACCUUUUAACUACUUGGAAACCGAGGAGCGCAAGUGACAGGUCGUGCAACCAGUUUUGGAUUAAAAACUGGGACGCAUUUUGAAGAAUAGAUCCUUACAUUGAAAUUUAAUUGUUUUUUGGAUUCGUCCGAACUGAUCUGAACCAUAAGAGAUAAAAGAUAAGUAUUGCUGUUCAUUUUGCUCAUGUUUACAUUAUCAGUCCUUCAGGAUUUCAUUUAACCCUUUCCUCUCUUAUGUACUGGUUGCAAAAACAUGUUCAGAACAUGAUUCUUAAAUGUUUUAGCUUUCAAAUGAUGCAUAGAUUUAUCAUAGUCAGUUGAAUAUUUGUUAUAAAACAAAGGUAAAUAAAUGUAAUAAAAAAGUAUAGACAUCCCCAGCGUAUCCGGGCCAGGAUGAUACCAUCCAUGAAGUUAAUAGCCGUGUCUGAAAUCCAUCCCUAUCCACUAUUUAGGGUGUCUGCCAUUUUCUAGUGGUGUCCGAAUUCUGAUUGAACGAC
ensembl:lncRNA